GAAGUGAAAGAACAGCUAUCGACCUUUUCCCUUUUUCGCUACUCCUCCGCUUUCAGAAAAUCAAUUCCUCUAUUCACUGGAAUUGUGUAAAAUGCAGCAUUAGCUCAUCAGUGUUAACAAUUCAAACCGGCUUCCUCCACCUGCUUCACGCGCCGAGCGUGUGAUUAAUUGCUUUGUCAACCAUCAAUCUCCGGCCCCCGUAAAACGGCCACGGGACCCGCAAGCCUGCACGUGGCUGCUGAGACGACGGCGCCGCGAUCCCCACGGGGGGCGCGUGUUAAUGAGGCCACGGCGAGAGUUAACAAUUCGCCAUUAAAAUCUAAUGCAUUCUUUAAUUAAUUAAGCUCUCGUUCAUAAACAGCCAGCACUUCUCCCUCACUCCAAAUUUGACCUAACAAUAGAGCGCUUAAUGUUUUAUGGCGGAGGCAUAACGUAUUUAAAUGUCAUUAAUACACGAACAGCAAGAUAAACACACUGAGACAUUCUAUUAGCGGUGACAGGCGGCGUCUCCGCGAACACUGUCGCCCUGUUUUUGACCAAAUAAUUCACAAUUCAGUGGGAUCACAGCUGACGGGCUGCUGCUUCGUAUUCAGAAGGGGGAGUGUUUUCAGAAGUAGACUCACACGCAACACGAAAUGAUUAUCGUCCAACUCUUCUGGAUGUAUCGAGUUAACUCGGGAUCUAAUUUCUGGUCACACGGGCUCAAUGAAAAAUCAAAUUGGCUCCUAAAUUGGUUGGUCACUCCAACGUUGAAAAAUAGGUCAAAGUUUCUGCAAUCCCAAGUGUCCGCUAGGCUCUAUGAUUGCAGAGUGAGAUGCGGGGGAGUUUUCUUCCUUCCUGGCGAGGCAGCGGCUUCGUCUCCCAGGUGCCAUUCCACCCGACUUAAGGGGAAUGUGCAAUCAAAAAGUCAAGAACAUCGGCUCAGAGAGGGAUCCAAACAUUUUGAUUUUCUCCUCAAACCCCUUUAUCUAUUUCUACUUCCCGUCCGUUGGGGAGGGAAGCAACACGAUUCUCGUUGGAGCGCAAGAUCUCGUUGUCUUCUCGUUGGACGGAUCACGUGACGUCUCAAAUCCUACAUUUGGACAUGCUGACGGUUUCCUUUCAGCCCGGGGGGGGCAGGGUGGGAGCCGGCCGGGUUCAUCAGAGCCCAAAGUGCGCCCCCCCCCUCCCUGUAAUCACCCUCAACACACAUGUACACGCACGCACGCACAAAAAAGAAGCUGUGUCCCGCCGCCCGGGACACGCAGGCUGCCAUUCACCGGUUGUGGUUCUGAGUUUCACCACGAUCCGAAUCAGAAAUGAGACUUUUGUGUUUAAGAUUUCACUUCCCAGCCCCCCCUGCCUGUGGGACCUGCUCCUUGGGCUUUUCAUCAGCUGCCAUUUUCGACGGCAUGCAGUAAUUUCAUGGCUCAUUGCAAGCGCUGAAAACCUUUGAAACUGCAAAUGUUAACUUUGCCUGGCCUGGAGCCAUUUAGGAAGCGAUUAAUUUAGCAAACAGAAGUGAGCCACUUUCUCCUCCUAGCCUGCGCAUAAUUUUUUUUGGGGGGGGGGUCGGUGUUGGCGGGCCUUCUAUCUGUAUUUGAGUUAGAGUGAGCAAUGUAAUGAUGGUUCCUGUAAUUGUGGCGGUGUGAAAAUGCUUCCUGGCUCACCCCCCCCCCCCCCCCUCCCUCCAUAUCUCCCCCCAUCAUCUCUCCUGGCUGAGCCUCGGCGGCCUCGCGCACACAUCGAGGAGAGAGGUGGAAUCACUUACAGCGUGCUUGACCUUAUUCCUCGUGGCGGGGUCGUUUGAGCGUGAGAGGAGAACAUGUUUGUUCGACGCCUCGUUUCCUUUUUCUUUCCUCUCCGCGAGCCGCCGACCGAACGGGCGCCUCCCGACCGUCAGCGCCACUCUGCGUCUCUGAUGGCGACGCGAUACCGACGCAACGAUUCAAUUUAGGGAGAGUAGCGUGGGGACGGCAUUUGGAAGUGUGAGGCGUUUUCCUCCCCCCCCCCCCCCGGCUCUCAGGGAGAUCCCAGUGAGAGGCUCUCAGUGUUUGCCCAGUAUUCCUGGAGGCUUGUUUUGUCACAGGCUCGGUGCAGCUAGGCAUGGGAGAGGCAGAAGGCCGCGGGUCGGCCAGCCCCCCCCUCCACCCCUCCCCCACAGCUGUCCCCCCUCCAUCCUGGCACUCGGCUCCAGCGAGCCAAUAUGAAAACAAAUUCUUGUGGCGCUUUGCAAUUAAUUUCCCUUUGCCGGCAAAAAGGAAAAAAAACUCAUGAACAAAAAAAAAAACGCCUGACAACAUAACAUAUAGCAGGCUGUGUACAGAAAAUCUGGCUUUACACAAGAGUCAUUUUUCACCCUGCUGGGAGCAGUUUUUGUGCGUAUUCCUCCCCAUGUGCAUAUAGAUCCGUGUAGGCCGAUGAAAGGCUCAAGUACAGAAGUGCACCCCAUUUAUAUCCACGGUGACGUUAACUCUUGUUGUAAGUACAGGUUUUAUAUUUGCCUAUAUUCUGGAUUCAUACGUUUAUUCCAAACACACAAAGCCGAGGCUAUUUUUAAAGUCCAAUUGGGAAUCAAGCAAAACAAGUUUAAAAAAAUAAUAAUAAUAAUCAAGGAGAAGGGAGGUGGGUCAAAGGGCAAACUCGACAAAAGAGAGAACGGUGGGAGUAAUAGGAAUACACGACAAUGAUCCAAAUCCCUAUUUCGCCUCUCACACAUACACUGUGUAUGCGUGUGUGUGUAUGCAUGUGUGCAUGUGUGUGUGUGCAUGUGUUACUCCGCGCUGCCUUCAGGAAACGACUGCUUCCUUACCUGCGUGCCCUGUAACCACAUCUGCUUCCUGUUGUAGCACGGCCAUGCUGCAACCCCCCCUCCCCCUCCCCCCCACGCCAUUAAUUUUACUGAAAGCCAUUGACAAUAACCACCAGAUACCGGGCAGCGGCGUUCAAACGUUUUCUUCCUCCUUCUUAUCAUAAAGGUCCCACAUGCCUUGGCAAUAUCCCCAAAAUAAAAUAAAUAAAUAAUAACACAAAAAAAAGAAGAUAAAUUUGUCCUAAUUACGUCUCCCGAACAAUGUUGUUUGACGGCCAAAGACAUCAAAUUAAAUACCAUUUUGAUUCGGCAAAAGUGGUGUCAAGGUCUUGUAUUUUCACCGCAGGUACAUUGCGUGAUAAAUGAGGGAGAAAACAGUAAUUAUAGGGUGGAAAUGACAUCAGAAAUUAAGCAAAUUGUGAAAGGGUUCGCCUUUAAAUGGGUGUGAGCCAUGAAUUAAAAAGACCAUUAACUGGGGAAAAGGCAGGUGUUAUUCUUACUGCCCAAAACAAACAGAGAGGGGGGAGGUGUGUGUGUGUGUGUGUGUGUGUGUGUGUGUGUGUGUGGAGGAAGAGAUGCAGGUGUGUGUUGUUAUCUAUGAACAAUCCCAUGUCAUUACCGAGCGAAGGUGCAUUUAGCACAUUUUCCUGUUUCAGUGCUGUGCUAAUUUGUGAUGCAUUGUGACGUAAAUAAACGCCGCCGGACUGGAGUAAUAUGUCCUUUCAAUACAAACUGAUUUCCUUAAAUUCCUGCUUAUUGUUGCUCACUUUCCUUCAUUUGCAUGUGCUCCUUUUAUGGAGAAAUGCAUUUAAAAUCUGCAUGCGAUGUCAUGGAUACUUAGCUUUUUGCAUUUUCCGGGCGUCCCAAUAAGAAAAGUUUAGUGUGUUGCUGCUCUGCGCUGUGUAUCCGUGUAUCCUGCAAGCAUGCAGGCAUCCAAAGGACUCUAAAUCACACUUUGAGUAAAUUGUUGCCCAUGACUCCACUAGGUAUCAAAAGGCGGAGGAUCACAGUGCUCAUCCCACCCUCACUUUGUGUUGCCAUAGUUUUCUUUCUCUUUCUUUCAUUUAUUUUGAUCAAACCUGUGUCUGGUCUUUUCAUGAGUCCAGAGAAAUGUAAAGGUGGUGAGAGGUGCUCAGCCUGAUAGGACACAGGGCCAGUGUGGUGAUCAGACGAAAUUACACAUCACCAUCACCCCCCCUCUCGACUAUGCGUGUCUUUUUUGUCUAUUUAAUCAAAGCUCUUGCCGUCCGACGUCUCUCUGGGCCACGUGUCAAACGGUUCCCAUUGAUGUCGGCGCGCUGCUAAUCACAAAGUCCAUCCACAGAUGCCCGCGCGCGCCAACCCGCCCCGCGCGCCGCCGCCGCCGCUUCACCGGUGCAUCGCAUUCUCCCCUCAACACCUUUGAGGCACGCGAGAUUAUUUCUGCAAUCUGAAAGCGAGAAUAACCUCUAGGAAGGGAACUAAAUCACAAUAUAAAGUAAUUAAGCACAUUAUCAACGCGGAGGUUAAUUAGUGGGACCCCACGCGCCACCGGUAGCAUUGCAAACAGAGAAACGCUUUGGUUUUUUUUGUCUCAUUUUCUGACCGCACGCACGCGGGCAGGCGCGCGCCCCGCGCACACACUGGCUGCAGCCGCUUGAUUGUCACUGUUUGGGGCUCUGAAAUUGAUUAAACAACUCGCCAUCCAGUUUAAUUAAUGGAAACUAUCUGUAGUUCAAAGCUAUUUAGCAGAAUGUUGUGCCUUGGCCCCCCCCCCACCUCCCCCGUCUCGUUGCGCUUAGACAAUCGUAGAAAUUAAUUGAAUCCCAGCGUUACUGUAUGGGGGAAACCUUAAAACAAUCAUCCACGUUGUGGCCCAUACACUAAAAGGCAUUCUGUGCAUAAGCGCGCACAGCGGAGUGGCUGAUGUACUGUUAGCCACGUGUUUAUCCUUUAACAUGAAGGAACUGUGCCAAGCGGUAAUAUCACAAGACAGAGGAGACAACAUGGCCUGCCUCUGUAUCUCCGGAGUGCAGCUGAGUCCAAAAUGGCACAUUGACAACGGCAUACAUAGUUUGUGCAUAGGAACAAAAGGCGAGGCAUUCCUAAUUAUUGACAAGCAACAUAUAUUUACUUUCCCUCAUUUCAAAGUGAUAAGUCCUUCGAGCUGCACCGAGCGUCUGCAGUGGGAAGAUGUCCCUAUCAAUGACUACAGGCGUACCUGUUUGUUCAGGAAGGCUCGGCAACAGAAGACCCUCCCCGUGCCGGCUGAAGCCAUUAACCUGUUUGACUUGACUUUCUCUACACAUCCUGCUUGUGAUGGCUCCUUUUGUGCUGCACGCCCUCGUUUCAUUCAUCGUGGGGGUUUGAGAAGUCCAACUUUGAAUGUAGAGGUUUGGCGUUUGAUUCACCAACCAGGAGAAGGUCUGCUACUCCAGUUUGUCCCGAAAGUACCGAAACACCUAACCCAAGUUUUGAUUAGUUAAAAAAUCCUGAUUGUUGUGACGGGUUUUAUGGUGUCAAAAAAUUGCUUUUAUUAUAUAAAAAGUAGGAUCAGCUUUAUUAGCGUGGAGAUGAUAAAGCUAAAAGAGACUGAAGAAGAAGUGCAGUAGGUAAACACAACCAAAGAACCAACACGUGCAUAUAAAACAAUUAUUGUUACAAUAUGUGACUUUUAUAUGAUAGUGGUAAAUAUCAUCACGUUUAUCAUGAGAAUACAUUUGGUGCGGGUGGGCAGGUGUGGAUGAAGGGUCACUACAGGUCAUCAUCAAAAGGAGGAUACCUUUUUUGCAACGGCCCAACAACAACAUGUCAAACAGCUGCUUACUCACCACAAAACUUCAGGCAUCCUUCUUCACCCCCUCCCCUACCUUCCUCCCUCCCCUUUCUCCUCACCCCUCUCUUUUUUUUCUUUCUUAAAUGGCAUGAAGGUUGCGAUGGCUGGAGUCCAAGAUCAUCGCGCCCGAGACCACACAGAUGGGGAGAGAUAAAAGUUCUCUGUGAGCUGCUCACAGUGCUGCCAUUUUCCACCCAAGUGGAGGGGGAGGGAGAGUACGGGAGG
ensembl:lncRNA